UUUAAUUGUGCAAUUCAAUUUAUUUUGAUAAUUAUUUUUUACUUAGAUUUUUUAGGAUUAGUUUGAGAAAUAUCUU
rnacentral:tRNA from 1 species